AGAGGAUGAUCAGCCACACGUGGAACUGAGAUACGGUCCAGACUCCUACGGGAGGCAGCAGUGGGGAAUAUUGGACAAUGGGCGAAAGCCUGAUCCAGCCAUGCCGGCUGGAGUGAAGAAGGCCUUUGGGUUGUAAAGCUCUUUUAGUGAGGAAAGAUAAUGACGGUACUCACAGAAGAAGUCCUGGCUAACUCCGUGCCAGCAGCCGCGGUAAUACGGAGAGGGCUAGCGUUAUUCGGAAUUAUUGGGCGUAAAGGGCGCGUAGGCUGGUUAAUAAGUUAAAAGUGAAAUCCCGAGGCUUAACCUUGGAAUUGCUUUUAAAACUAUUAAUCUAGAGAUUGAAAGAGGAUAGAGGAAUUCCUGAUGUAGAGGUAAAAUUUGUAAAUAUUAGGAGGAACACCAGUGGCGAAGGCGUCUAUCUGGUUCAAAUCUGACGCUGAAGCGCGAAGGCGUGGGGAGCAAACAGGAUUAGAUACCCUGGUAGUCCACGCUGUAAACGAUGAAUGUUAAAUAUGGGAAGUUUACUUUCUGUAUUACAGCUAACGCGCUAAACACUCCGCCUGGGGAGUACGGUCGCAAGAUUAAAACUCAAAGGAAUUGACGGGGACCCGCACAAGCGGUGGAGCAUGUGGUUUAAUUCGAUGCAACGCGAAAAACCUUACCACUUCUUGACAUGGAA
rnacentral:rRNA from 1 species